rnacentral:rRNA from 1 species
CACGUAGGGGGCGAGCAUUGUCCGGAUUUAUUGGGCGUAAAGAGCUCGUAGGCGGUUCCGUCAGUCGGGUGUGAAAACUCUGGGCUCAACCCAGAGACGCCACCCGAUACUGCGGUGACUAGAGUCCGGUAGGGGAGUGCGGAAUUCCUGGUGGAGCGGUGAAAUGCGCAGAGAUCAGGAGGAACACCCGUAGCGAAGGCGGCACUCUGGGCCGAUACUGACACUGAGGAGCGAAAGCGUGGGGAGCGAACAGG